CGAACGGGUGAGUAACACGUGAGCAACCUGCCCUAUACAACGGGAUAACACAGAGAAAUUUGUGCUAAUACGGUAUAAGACCACAGUAUCGCAUGAUACAGGGGUAAAAGAUUUAUCGGUAUAGGAUGGGCUCGCGACCCAUUAGCUAGUUGGUGAGGUAACGGCCCACCAAGGCAACGAUGGGUAGCCGACCUGAGAGGGUGAUCGGCACACUGGGACUGAGACACGGCCCAGACUCCUACGGGAGGCAGCAG
rnacentral:rRNA from 1 species